rnacentral:rRNA from 1 species
UACGGAGGGGGCUAGCGUUGUUCGGAAUUACUGGGCGUAAAGAGUACGUAGGCGGUUUACCAAGCCAGAUGUGAAAUCCCGGGGCUUAACCUCGGAACUGCAUUUGGAACUGGUAGACUAGAGAUAGUUAGAGGUUGGUGGAAUUUCUUGUGUAGGGGUGAAAUCCGUAGAUAUAAGAAGGAAUAUCAAUGGCGAAGGCAGCCAACUGGGACUUUUCUGACGCUGAGGUACGAAAGCGUGGGUAGCAAACAGG